CCUACGGGUGGCUGCAGUGGGGAAUAUUGCACAAUGGGGGAAACUCUGAAGCAGCGACGCCGCGUGAAGGAAGACGUCUUUAGGUAUGUAAACUUCUAUCUGCAGGGAAGUAAAUGACGGUACGUGACUCAGAAGCCCCGGCUAACUACGUUCCAGCAGCCGCGGCAAUGCGGAGGGAGCAAGCGUUAUCCGGAUUUACUGGGUGUAAAGGGCGUGUAGCCGGGCUGACAAGUCAGAUGUGAAAGUCCGGGGCUCAACCCCGGACCUGCAUGUGAUACUGUUGGGCUUGAGUAUCGUAGAGGGAGGCGGAAUGCCUGGUGUAGCGGUGAAAUGCGUAGAGAUUAGGAGGAACACCGGUGGCGAAGGCGGCCUGCUGGACGACAACUGACGGUGAGGCGCGAAAGCGUGGGGAGCAAACAGGAUUAGAUACCCGUGUAGUC
rnacentral:rRNA from 1 species